UACGACUGAGUGAUAGUUAGAUGAUGUUCUUAUAAAAGUUGGAAACUUGUUGAUUGUUGUAGUGUUAGUUAAUUAGAUGACUAGUUUAAAAUCUUGAAACUUCUUGGUCGAUGAGAUGGUUAGAUUAUUCACUAAAGUUAGUUUGUUGAUGAGAUAGUGGAGUGAACCAAAAAAAUAUAUAAAUACAAUUUGAAAAGACAAAACAUAUAUAUGUUAAAACCAUACACUGAUACUUAAAUCUCACAUAUAUCCUUAAUUUAGUUAGUUUAGUUGGACAUUUAACAUAUAUAUUUUGAUAUUUUUUCUCUUCAUGAUCUCGGUUGGCUGAAUUCUUUUUGGACCACUCAUCUGUUGCACUAAUUUAUGACCUGCACUAAUCCUUACAUCAAUCAAGUGGCUAUCUGAACCAAAAGAACUACAAAUUCUCACGAUAUAAUGCUACCUAAUAUCCACUUCCUCUUCCACCAGAUCUUACAUCAUCAAAAUAGACUGUUAAGUCGGUAAAUGAUUUAGAUGUAUUAGCCUUGAAUCCUUAAUUCUAAUACUAAAGUAACUUGCAUGGCUCAGUUAGAUCAACAAUCAAGUGCGUUUGAUCAGCAGUUAUAACGACACCAUUUGGAUACG
rnacentral:lncRNA from 1 species